ensembl:lncRNA
GUUUAAUUUAUUCUGCAUUUCCAUGCACGUAUCAGUUCUUCCAGUGUCGGUCCCUGUCGUCUGCAAUUUUAUCGUCCACUGCUCCGAAUCUCGUAGACAUAAAUUGUCUACGAUUCGCGGGUACUUAGCUGGCAUUCAAUUUUAUGCAAGAUGCCAAGUUCCCGGCUCUCCUAGUCUAUUUUCAGCUCCCGCAAUCCGUCUCCUAUUGAAGGGCAUGUAUAAAUCGGGGCCAACAGUACCAGACAAACGCUCUCCUAUCACUUUCGAUAUUUUGAAUAGAUUAGUGUGCUCUCUCAGAGCUGGGAGAUUCCAUCCUUAUUUUAACAUAUUACUCGAGACAGCGUUCUACGGGGUCAUGCGUCCAGGGGAAUACACGUUUCCUACUCAGACUUUUGCUUUUUCCCUACACGGGGCCUGGCUUUCGCUGAUGUCACCUUCUCUGCAAGGCAUUUUUCCAUCUUCUUAAAACGGUCUAAAAGCGAUAGCCUAGGGGCAGGUGUUACUAUUAUCAUUUCAAGAAUCAACAACUCUCUCUGUCCUUACGCUUCCAUGCUCCGGUAUCUCAAGCUUCGGGCAACGCACGUCCCCCGAAUCACCUCUGUUUAUUAACGGCCUGCCAAUGACUUAAGAGUGGUUCAGAGUCCAUCUCGCGAAGGUGGUAGAAGGGUGCGGCCUACCAUCUCCCCUUCACACUGGCCACUCCUUCAGGAUUGGAGCGGCAACCACAGCCGCUGAACAAGGGUUGCCAGACGCGUCCAUCAAACGGCUGGGAAGGUGGUCUUCCACAGUUUACGAAUCCUACAUCCGUUUGAAUCCAAGGUUCUUUCUUCAAGCGCACACGAUGCUCUCUAACGUCGGUUAAGGCAGGUUUAACCCGUUUGCAACUAUAGCUGUUUUUGGCGGCCUGUUUCCAUUCUAGUUUUAGUCUAGUCUUUGUGUCAAGCUGUCACUUUAGUUUUUAUUAGUUUUAGUCACGUUCAUACUCUUUUCUAGUGAUAUCGAAAUUCCGUUUAGAUAUUAUCGAGAUACAAGUGUGUAGAUUUGUUAAAUAAGGUAAACGGUUGAAAAUUGAUGUAGUUAUGUCUUAAAAAGUUGAAGUUCCAGAUGAACAAAAUAACGUUAUAACAGUUUUUAUCGCCUAGUUUAGGUCAACGAAAAUGAAGAGACAUUGUAGCAGUCUCAUUUUGUAAAACACUUUUUAGUCUCUUUUUUAUUCUGAUAUGUACUUAAUUAUAGUUUUUGUCACAUGACCAGCAUUUACGUUGCGUCUUGUGUUCCUCACGCGAUAAAGGUUUGUUGUUGACGACAUUUAGUCAUAAUUUUCGUUGUCAAAGGUAACACUAUUUGCAACUACUGGUAGGCCUACUAAACUCAUAAAACAAAAUUCGGCUAUUUAACUCAAGGUAAACCUGCAGCAACCCCGGCGAGUGUGACCACGUCGGUUGAUCAUCUAGAAAACACUCUUGAGUUUGUUGUCAAGUCGGUGGCACAACAUCAAAAAACUCAAGGUUCGCAGCGGCAACCCCGUAACCCCGGUGAGUGCGUUGACCACGUCGGUGGGCACAACUCAGGCACUCGUGAGUUCGUUGCACACGUCGGUGUGGUACAACACAGAACUCAACACAGACCUUUUCUGCAAUCAUGCUCACCUGGUCUUCAUCUCCAAUCAACUCCCCUUCAUAAACCCUUGGAUUCCCUGCUGUCGGUGCCAGAUCGUACUACGCAAUACUGUGUUAUCCGGAUCCUUCGCUCCAGCUCGCCUGCCUCGCUCCUUCCCCGGCUACCUCAUCCACUACCUGCCUCCUCGCCUCGUACAAUAAACCCUUUUUUCAUCAAUUCAACUUCGUCUCCGUCUGCUCUUGGGUUCAGCAUCGUUUAACCAUAACACAUGUGAAUUUAAUUACCACGCCGGUGGCAUAAUAUCAAACGCUCAAGUGCAGGGCACUCGGAGUUCAGUGACCACG